rnacentral:rRNA from 1 species
GUGAGGAAUAUUGGUCAAUGGACGAGAGUCUGAACCAGCCAAGUAGCGUGAAGGAUGACUGCCCUAUGGGUUGUAAACUUCUUUUAUACGGGAAUAAAGUGAGGCACGUGUGCCUUUUUGUAUGUACCGUAUGAAUAAGGAUCGGCUAACUCCGUGCCAGCAGCCGCGGUAAUACGGAGGAUCCGAGCGUUAUCCGGAUUUAUUGGGUUUAAAGGGAGCGUAGGCGGACGCUUAAGUCAGUUGUGAAAGUUUGCGGCUCAACCGUAAAAUUGCAGUUGAUACUGGGUGUCUUGAGUACAGUAGAGGCAGGCGGAAUUCGUGGUGUAGCGGUGAAAUGCUUAGAUAUCACGAAGAACUCCGAUUGCGAAGGCAGCCUGCUGGACUGUAACUGACGCUGAUGCUCGAAAGUGUGGGUAUCAAACAGGAUUAGAUACCCCUGUAGUCC